GACGUGGUGGCUGGGCGGUAAAGCGCUUGGCUUCUGAACCAGGGGUCCCGGGUUCGAAUCCUGGUGAAGACU
rfam:Biomphalaria glabrata isolate BB02 unplaced genomic scaffold LGTN_random_Scaffold1023, whole genome shotgun sequence.